AACGAACGCUGGCGGCAGGCUUAACACAUGCAAGUCGAACGAGAUCUUCGGAUCUAGUGGCAGACGGGUGAGGAACACGUGGGAACAUCCCUUUCAGUUCGGAAUAACGUUGGGAAACUAACGCUAAUACCGGAUACGUCCUUCGGGAGAAAGAUUUAUCGCUGAAAGAUUGGCCUGCGUCUGAUUAGCUAGUUGGUGAGGUAACGGCUCACCAAGGCUACGAUCAGUAGCUGAUCUGAGAGGAUGAUCAGCCACAUUGGGACUGAGACACGGCCCAAACUCCUACGGGAGGCAGCAGUGGGGAAUAUUGGACAAUGGGCGCAGGCCUGAUCCAGCCAUGCCGCGUGAGUGAUGACGGCCUUCGGGUUGUAAAGCUCUUUUGUCCGGGAAGAUAAUGACUGUACCGGAAGAAUAAGCCCCGGCAAACUUCGUGCCAGCCGCCGCGGUAA
rnacentral:rRNA from 1 species